ACGGGAGGCAGCAGUGGGGAGUAUUGCACAAUGGGCGAAAGCCUGAUGCAGCAACGCCGCGUGAGUGAAGAAGUAUUUCGGUAUGUAAAGCUCUAUCGAUGGGGAAUAAGAUGAAGGUACCCAAGUAAGAAGCCCCGGCUAACUACGUGCCAGCAGCCGCGGUAAUACGUAGGUUGCAAGCGUUGUCCGGAUUUACUGGGUGUAAAGGGCGUGUAGGCGGAGCUGCAAGUCAGAUGUGAAAUCCCGGGGCUCAACCCCGGAACUGCAUUUGAAACUGUAGCCCUUGAGUAUCGGAGAGGCAAGCGGAAUUCCUAGUGUAGCGGUGAAAUGCGUAGAUAUUAGGAGGAACACCAGUGGCGAAGGCGGCUUGCUGGACGACAACUGACGCUGAGGCGCGAAAGCGUGGGGAGCAAACAGGAUUAGAUACCCUGGUA
rnacentral:rRNA from 1 species